GUGCUUGCUUCAGCAGCACAUAUACUAAAAUUGAAAUGAUACAGAAAUUAGCAUGGCCCUUGCACAAGGAUGACAUGCAAAUUCGUGAAGUGUUCCAUGAUUUU
rnacentral:snRNA from 1 species